rnacentral:rRNA from 2 species
AUUCCGGUUGAUCCUGCCGGAGGCCACUGCUAUGGGGGUCCGACUAAGCCAUGCGAGUCAAGGGGGCGUCCCUUCUGGGACGCCACCGGCGGACGGCUCAGUAACACGUCGGUAACCUACCCUCGGGAGGGGGAUAACCCCGGGAAACUGGGGCUAAUCCCCCAUAGGCCUGGGGUACUGGAAGGUCCCCAGGCCGAAAGGGAGCCGUAAGGCUCCGCCCGAGGAUGGGCCGGCGGCCGAUUAGGUAGUUGGUGGGGUAACGGCCCACCAAGCCGAAGAUCGGUACGGGCCGUGAGAGCGGGAGCCCGGAGAUGGACACUGAGACACGGGUCCAGGCCCUACGGGGCGCAGCAGGCGCGAAACCUCCGCAAUGCGGGAAACCGCGACGGGGGGACCCCCAGUGCCGUGCCUCUGGCACGGCUUUUCCGGAGUGUAAAAAGCUCCGGGAAUAAGGGCUGGGCAAGGCCGGUGGCAGCCGCCGCGGUAAUACCGGCGGCCCGAGUGGUGGCCACUAUUAUUGGGCCUAAAGCGGCCGUAGCCGGGCCCGUAAGUCCCUGGCGAAAUCCCACGGCUCAACCGUGGGGCUCGCUGGGGAUACUGCGGGCCUUGGGACCGGGAGAGGCCGGGGGUACCCCCGGGGUAGGGGUGAAAUCCUAUAAUCCCGGGGGGACCGCCAGUGGCGAAGGCGCCCGGCUGGAACGGGUCCGACGGUGAGGGCCGAAGGCCAGGGGAGCGAACCGGAUUAGAUACCCGGGUAGUCCUGGCUGUAAAGGAUGCGGGCUAGGUGUCGGGCGAGCUUCGAGCUCGCCCGGUGCCGUAGGGAAGCCGUUAAGCCCGCCGCCUGGGGAGUACGGCCGCAAGGCUGAAACUUAAAGGAAUUGGCGGGGGAGCACUACAAGGGGUGGAGCGUGCGGUUUAAUUGGAUUCAACGCCGGGAACCUCACCGGGGGCGACGGCAGGAUGAAGGCCAGGCUGAAGGUCUUGCCGGACGCGCCGAGAGGAGGUGCAUGGCCGCCGUCAGCUCGUACCGUGAGGCGUCCACUUAAGUGUGGUAACGAGCGAGACCCGCGCCCCCAGUUGCCAGUCCCUCCCGCUCGGGAGGGAGGCACUCUGGGGGGACUGCCGGCGAUAAGCCGGAGGAAGGGGCGGGCGACGGUAGGUCAGUAUGCCCCGAAACCCCCGGGCUACACGCGCGCUACAAUGGGCGGGACAAUGGGUGCCGACCCCGAAAGGGGGAGGUAAUCCCCUAAACCCGCCCUCAGUUCGGAUCGCGGGCUGCAACUCGCCCGCGUGAAGCUGGAAUCCCUAGUACCCGCGCGUCAUCAUCGCGCGGCGAAUACGUCCCUGCUCCUUGCACACACCGCCCGUCACUCCACCCGAGCGGGGCCUAGGUGAGGCCCGAUCUCCUUCGGGAGGUCGGGUCGAGCCUAGGCUCCGUGAGGGGGGAGAAGUCGUAACAAGGUAGCCGUAGGGGAACCUACGGCUCGAUCACCUC